rnacentral:rRNA from 1 species
CAGGCCUAACACAUGCAAGUCGAACGGAAAGGCCCUGCUUUUGUGGGGUGCUCGAGUGGCGAACGGGUGAGUAACACGUGAGUAACCUGCCCUUGACUUUGGGAUAACUUCAGGAAACUGGGGCUAAUACCGGAUAGGAGCUCCUGCUGCAUGGUGGGGGUUGGAAAGUUUCGGCGGUUGGGGAUGGACUCGCGGCUUAUCAGCUUGUUGGUGGGGUAGUGGCUUACCAAGGCUUUGACGGGUAGCCGGCCUGAGAGGGUGACCGGCCACAUUGGGACUGAGAUACGGCCCAGACUCCUACGGGAGGCAGCAGUGGGGAAUAUUGCACAAUGGGCGGAAGCCUGAUGCAGCAACGCCGCGUGCGGGAUGACGGCCUUCGGGUUGUAAACCGCUUUCGCCUGUGACGAAGCGUGAGUGACGGUAAUGGGUAAAGAAGCACCGGCUAACUACGUGCCAGCAGCCGCGGUGAUACGUAGGGUGCGAGCGUUGUCCGGAUUUAUUGGGCGUAAAGGGCUCGUAGGUGGUUGAUCGCGUCGGAAGUGUAAUCUUGGGGCUUAACCCUGAGCGUGCUUUCGAUACGGGUUGACUUGAGGAAGGUAGGGGAGAAUGGAAUUCCUGGUGGAGCGGUGGAAUGCGCAGAUAUCAGGAGGAACACCAGUGGCGAAGGCGGUUCUCUGGGCCUUUCCUGACGCUGAGGAGCGAAAGCGUGGGAGCGAACAGGCUUAGAUACCCUGGUAGUCCACGCUGUAA